AUGUUCUUUGGUAGCCAGUUCUCGGAGCUCGAGCGUGUAGCUAUUGAUCUUAGCCAGGGGCGUUCUCCCGAAAAGACAAGAUCUGGUGUUAUGAAGGGGCGGUUGGGAGCUCUGAGAAGUUCUACGGCUGCUUGUGCAGAGAGCCCUACUACACCCAAGAAUCCCAUUGUGGAAUUGAUAGACAGCGAUGAUGAUGUGUUUGACAAGGUUGCUGGCGUUGGAAGAGUCACGAGGAGCGCUGCUGCCAAAGGUUUAUCUCCCCUUGUUGGAAUAGUGGCUCGUAGAGCUGGUGGUGCUAGGAAAGAUCCUGCUUUGGAUUCUGGCAAUGUUGUAAGCACGAAGCGUGCACCCAGAGCUCCUAUAAAGUUUUGCUCCCCUGUGCAGCAGCUUCACCCUCAUAAAUUCCCUCACCUGGACAAGGCUCGCAGGUUGUAUAAUCUGUUGCUUAGUGAUGAAUGGCAUGAGAAGUAUGCCGAGAAUACAUUCUCAAUGAUACCUCAGCCUGAUGAGAGUGUAACUAACUUCACUGGGAAUCGCAUCUGGGAAGUUUUUUCACCUGGGCAAAUGAUGGAGGGUGAUGUUGUGCUUGACUGUUUGUUUCACGAGGAUGAAAAUAAAGUGUUUAAUGUGGAGAGUGCAGCGAGAGAUUUCAAGAGCUAUGUUAAAGCUAAUGAAGACUUGCUUAGUGCCGACCUUAUCAUGAUGCCUCUAUUCAAGCCUAUGGUUUUAUCAAAGGAUAGGAAAGUGAACCACUAUUCCUUAUAUGUCAUGAAUCGGUACCGAAGUAGCGUUGACAUCCUUGACUCUUUACCUUAUCCGAAGAACCACCGUCCUUCAAAGAACACCUAUCACAAAGAUUGCAAGAAGAUUAUUUCUAGAAUGGUCAAAGUAAUGAAGGCUGUGUAUGGUGAUGCUCAGUACAAUGCGAGAAAGCAGCCCAAUUGGGAGCUAUUUGCAAAGAAACCAACGUUUGUCAAGGUUCCACUUCAAGGGGAAAAUGAAUGUGGCCAUUAUACUCUGGAGUAUGCGGGAUGCUACGAUGGUGAAAAGAUCGUUGAGAACAUUCGAGAUUAUGACCCACGCAUUUUUGAUUGGAACGCUGAGGAUCUGUAUAGAGUUGUGUUCAACCGGAAUAACCAUCUUAUGGUUACGGAGCUUCCCAAGGAGCUUCAGGCUUUGGCUCCUGAUGCAUAG
rnacentral:rRNA from 1 species